UUAUUACCAACAUCAAAACAACAUUCAAACACCAACAGACAAGCAGCAUGGCACUGGUGUUCGAGCAACACCAUUCAAUAACAACCAAAACACGAAAUUCAAAUUUCUGGAAAAAAAACAUGUAGGGUUCAUGAACAGCAGGGUAUCUUCAUCACUUCCAGCAGAUCGGAUUUUUCAACAUACUCAUAAACAAAAAUUGCUUACACCAUGGUGCUUAUCUAACAGCAUAC
rnacentral:lncRNA from 1 species